rnacentral:rRNA from 1 species
GAUGAACGCUGGCGGCGUGCCUAAUACAUGCAAGUCGAGCGAACAGACGGGGAGCUUGCUCCUCUGACGUUAGCGGCGGACGGGUGAGUAACACGUGGAUAACCUACCUAUAAGACUGGGAUAACUUCGGGAAACCGGAGCUAAUACCGGAUAAUAUAUUGAACCGCAUGGUUCAAUAGUGAAAGACGGUUUUGCUGUCACUUAUAGAUGGAUCCGCGCCGCAUUAGCUAGUUGGUAAGGUAACAGCUUACCAAGGCAACGAUGCGUAGCCGACCUGAGAGGGUGAUCGGCCACACUGGAACUGAGACACGGUCCAGACUCCUACGGGAGGCAGCAGUAGGGAAUCUUCCGCAAUGGGCGAAAGCCUGACGGAGCAACGCCGCGUGAGUGAUGAAGGUCUUCGGAUCGUAAAACUCUGUUAUUAGGGAAGAACAAAUGUGUAAGUAACUAGGCACGUCUUGACGGUACCUAAUCAGAAAGCCACGGCUAACUACGUG